GUGAGCUGCGUGUGCUGCGGGAAGCGUGCGCGUCGGGCGCCAGACACGCGCGCCCGUUUUCCGAAGUUUGUGGAGCUAGCCGAUCGGUACUCGUGCACACGCUCUGUGCGCGAGGCGCACGUGUAGACUGUCAACAGAAUACCACACCUCGUACUAACGGCACACAAUAUUUACUGGCCGCGGUUUCCUGCUCUAGCGAGAGACAAAGCAGGUGGUCGCUUGCCAGACGCCGCGCGCCGGCUGAGUGGGCCAAGCUGCGCUCAUUUCCGCCUCGAGAGCGGCGGCUGCAGACGGGGAAGACAACUACUCCUCCGUCUGCCUGAGGCUUGCUGGCGGCCGAGGUUCACUUGCGGGCGGCCCUACUGACAGCGUCCUAUCUUCUGACAUGUCCAGCUUAAACUUUCCGCACGAGACACUUCCUGUGAACGUAUUGCUGGGACUACUAAGUCACUAACCAGUUUCCUACCAUACUUCCAGUGUGUCUAAGCGAGUGAAACAAAUACCGACGUCAUAGCUUACUAAUCCUCCAAGGUGAAGGAGAGGUGACAGACACAGCGUAGGCAUACAAUAUGUAGUUCUCAGCAAACGUCGUGCUUUCAUUCCAGUGGCUAUUGAAAACCUCUCUUCCAACAGCUCGCAAAGUAUCAGGAAAAGCUAAUGAAAGGAAAGUACACAGAAUUUGGUACUUCAUAUUCCACGUAACAGAGACGGAAAAAUGCGGAUUGACCUCUGUUGCAUUUAAAUGUUAGAACUCUGCGACGUGCGUUCGUCAUACAGGAAGGUCUUCCAGUUUUAACUGAACAGGGAGAACGGAGGAAUUAUAGAGGAGACUCUCGUGGGUUAACACAAACGUACACUGGAGGAAGGACCCAAGGAUUACGGCGACGGCAAUGGAUGAAGUAAGUCACGUUCGUCUCGACUGACCAGACCAUCGACAACGGCAUAUUAUGGUGGCGGCCACAGUUGGAGGAAUGUCCCUCGUUGCCUGCGCAGCCAUCUUCGUGCAACUCGCGUCCAUGUCUUCAGUAGCUCUGCAAAGUCACCCACAGUCGACGACAUCUCUGAGCGCACUGGCGCUGGUGUCCGGCUCGGGGUCGGCGGCGGCGGCGACGCCUGGCAAGCUGCG